UACGUAGGGUGCGAGCGUUGUCCGGAAUUAUUGGGCGUAAAGAGCUCGUAGGCGGUCUGUCGCGUCGAUCGUGAAAACUUGGGGCUUAACCCUGAGCUUGCGGUCGAUACGGGCAUGACUGGAGUUCGGCAGGGGAGACUGGAAUUCCUGGUGUAGCGGUGAAAUGCGCAGAUAUCAGGAGGAACACCGAUGGCGAAGGCAGCUCGCUGGGACGGUACUGACGCUGAGGCGCGAAAGCGUGGGGAGCGAACAGG
rnacentral:rRNA from 1 species